AGCAGUCGCCGCGGUAAUACGUAGGGCGCAAGCGUUAUCCGGAAUUAUUGGGCGUAAAGAGCUCGUAGGCGGUUUGUCGCGUCUGCCGUGAAAGUCCGGGGCUCAACCCCGGAUCUGCGGUGGGUACGGGCAGACUAGAGUGAUGUAGGGGAGACUGGAAUUCCUGGUGUAGCGGUGAAAUGCGCAGAUAUCAGGAGGAACACCGAUGGCGAAGGCAGGUCUCUGGGCAUUAACUGACGCUGAGGAGCGAAAGCAUGGGGAGCGAACAGGAUUAGAUACCCCCGUAGUCCCUGUCUCUUAUAC
rnacentral:rRNA from 1 species